AUGGGCAGAUAUUUCAAGGGCUGAUGACCUGCUGAUGAUAAGCUGAUUUCCUUACACUACGUAGUUUCCAGCAUAGAAAACAGCAAUGAAAACUGAUCUUUUAGAGGAGAAAGUUAAGACUAGGCCCUGAAUGAUACAGUAUUCUGAACUCAUGGGUUUUAGAACAGUCAUUAAUGCAGUUAUUAGACCCUGACUUAUUUAGCAGUUUUUUUUUUUUCUUCGCCAAACAUAUUACUAGAAAAAAUUUCAAAUUACAGAAGAAAAGGACAAGGGUUCCUAAUUUAAUAAGCUUAGGAAAGUUUGAUAGUCGUAAACAGACACAACCCCUCUCCUUUUCUCAAAGAAUUCGUGGCCUUUGAAAUACUGACUGUGUCUACAUGAAACCAAAGAAAGUCUCCUGGAGGAAUCCAUUUUAGUCGCAUACACAAACAGUUAAAUACAUCCAUGGCAGAGAAUGGUUUAUUAGUCCUUUUCAGUGUACAUCUGUAUGAAUAAGACAUCGAAUAUAAGGAACAUAGAAAGCAGGAGAACAAAGGGUUAAUUUAUUUACUAUGCAUGAGAGUUUCUAGACCUUUGCUUCCUCAGCUUUUAGUUCAAAAUUCCAUGCAUACUCUGCACAUAAUAAUAAAUGCCAUAAUUCAAUGUAUGCCAUAAUUUGAUUUACUUUCAAGCACCUUUUCUGGUUCAGCUCUCAAAGCUUUCCUUCCUAUAAACUUCCUCCAAAUUAUUCUUCGUGGCCCUCUGUAAAUCAUCAUUUGAAACUGGUAUUUGUGGGAUGACUCGAACACCAUCAGCAGAUUUCUAUCAAAUGAGCCAUCUUUCCUUUGGAGAAUCAGUGGUCAACGUCCACACCCUUAUUGGAGAAGGGGCCAAAUCACACUAAAAAAAAGAAGACUAAAACCUGAGCCCUUUCCCACCUCUUUGACGCUUGUAAUAAUGACAGCAGUCACUGAGUGACUGUCCUCUAGUUUGUCAGUCCUGCCUAGAGACCAAGAUCUUCAGGACAAGGCCUUUACACUCUGUUCCGUAUACUGCAUGUAUUGUCUGUUAUUACACCUGCCCAUGGCGGAAGAUGCUAUCUCAGAAAAGCUGGAGGCAACAGCUCUUAACUCUUAGUUCUUCAUAUGCAACUGCAAUUUAUUUUUUCUGUGCCUCAAGUUUCCGAUAUGUAAAAGGGGUGUAUUUAUUGCCCCAAGACUACCGAUUGGAUGCUUAGACUAAAGGAGUAUUGUUGGGGAGGAUUUUAAGAAUUAGUGAGGGAAAAGCACUUGUGCUAGAGAUUUUUAUAGCCUGCCACUAUUUUUGUAGCAAGAAGGUCUUGGAUAAUACAUUCUAAAUUCAAAAUUUAAGUGAAUUUUUAAUUCAAAAGAAAAGUGGACAAGAUUUAUACUGAAUAUUAGAGAUAGGUAAACAAGCUCUUGGUUUUGCAUUUAUUUUAUUUUAUUUUAUUUUAUUUUUUUGUCUUUUUGUGAUUUCUUGGGCCGCUCCCACGGCAUAUGGAGCGGCUCAAGAAAAGGCAAAAAGACAAAAAAAAAAAGACAUUAUUUCUUUUAAAUCUUUAUAUGAUAUUUGGGUUGAUUAUAAUGAGUUAUACAUUAAAUAGACACUGCUGUAGAAUUCAUGGUUCUGUUCUGGCCAACUCUACUUUGAGCAUAUUACCUAAGUAAGAACAAAUUCAGUGUUUUAAAAUAAAAGAAAGCAUAGCAUCCAAAGCUGGUAUUGAGGAGUGAAAACAUCUUCAAAGGCCAGUGCUUGGUUGCUUAACAUCAAACAUCUACUUAGAAAUGUCUAUUAGUUCAACAAGUAUUCCUGAAGGAAAACCUGUUGCAAAGCUAGUGGGUAUUCAACAUUUAAAACGACACAAGCAUGUAUUCUGCCACAAUGCAAAUUAUUAUUGCUUGGAUUGCCCAAACUUUGUUUAAACAAAUCUAUGAGUCGAGUUCACAAAGAGCCCAUGCAUUGUUGCCAUAUAGUAGCUAUAAGAAUAUAUAGUAUCCAAUCAAUGAGUCCUUUUAACAGAAGGGAAAUUACUUGGUAUAUUUUAAUGUAAAUCAUGAAUGUAAUUAUGCAAAGAACAUAUCUAAAUAUCUAGAACUGUUAUUUAAAUCUUUAACUGUUGUAAACAAUACCCAUCUUUUCUGCUGUGCAUCUUUAACUGGACUAUAUGCUCCUUGAGGAUAAAUCCUGACUUACACUUCUCUGAAUUUCCCAGUGCCUCCAGUACAGUGGUUUACACACAGCAUUUGCUUCCAAAAUAUCUGCUUUUUAAUUGGAUUCGCCUCUUAUUGGCUUUUCUUGGGGGCAAUUAAGCCACAUAAAGUGCCCAUAGAUAAAGGCAUCAUUAUUACUGAGGUGAAAGUUGCAAUUCUUAAUUUUUUUUUUAAAUUAUGCAUUGGGCCACUUAUUUUUCCCAUGUGACACUUAACCUGACUAAUUAUAGAAGUGAAUAGAAAAACAUGAUUCUCUUUUAAAAAGCUCACUUUACAUGCAACAUUUUUAGGAAUCCAGCUAACACGUCAAGCAGAAUCAUUCUGCACAAUGUAGGUUACGGUGAGUAUGUACUACAGCUUUGAUGGCAAAUAUUUUAAAUUAAAGCAAGCUACUCCCAAAAUUAUAUCAACAUAAAUAUGCAGUCUCUCACAAACACACAUUUGCACAUCCUUAAACUUAAAUUAAUGCAAAGACGAGAUAUAUUCUUUGUUCUGGUGGAAUACAAAUGAUGAAGACUAAUAAAUGAAUAAGUAAGCACUGGGUAACCAAAUCAAUGUCUGCUCAAUUCUGGUCAAGGAGGUGAAGUGAGGUUUCCCUUUGAGUCAGAGAAUGUAGUGGAUAAAAAGGACGUGAAUAGCUGGGGGGAUUUCCUGAGGCCAUUGCAGACCAGCUCACACACUGUUAAGAGGCUCGUUUUUAUGAGACUUUUGGUUGCAUUUGUAACGCUUGCUCUAGGUCCCCUAGAGCAUUAAGUGCCACAUCAGAGCACUACAACCACAGGACUAAACAUGAGAAGGUACAUUCCAAGGUUCUUUUCUCUCAGACCCAAAUAUCCAGGAGGAGCUUAUAGAUAUUUUCAAGACCUUUUUUCAUCCUUUGUUUUCCUCUCCCAACCAACCUACCAACCAACUAAACAAACCAAAAAAACUCCAAAACCCCUCCUUUCGAAUAGGACUACACGGAAAGGACUUUUGUUUUUGAUAAAAAUCUAAAUUCUUGUAUGUAAAAAAAUAACCAACUGUAAAACCUGUGGAUUAGUACAGUUAAUUAUUUCCACAGGUAGAACAUAUUUCUUUAGAAAAAACAACAAAACCUGGUCUGACUGGUAAGUUUGUUCUAGAUUAAGGAUUUAGACACAGUGUGAUAAGUAUUUGUUGUUUAUCAGGUUAGGUGCAAAUUAACUGGCCCAUAUUUUAACAUUUCACUACUGCAUUAAAGAAUUAAUAGUUUGAAAUUAUUAGCUGGCUCUUGUCACCAUUUUGGGGGAACAGUACCACCCACUUCUUUCAAAUUUGGCUCAAAACAUAGUCUGGGAUCUAAUUUUUCAAAAAAGCAACAACAACAACAAAAAACCAUCCGUAAAGUUCAGAACAGGGACAGGAAUCAUCAAAAGGAUAAGAUCCAAUCUUAAAAUCACUAGGGAGAACAAAAGCUCACUUAAUCCUCAAAGCAAAUGUAAAAGUAGGUGUUUUCUGGUUUUAUUGAUGACGCUGAGGCUCAGAGAGGUUAAGAAACUUCACCGUGCAGAGUUGAGAGGUAGCAGUACUCUGUGUCACACCUUGGUCUGUCUGACAGAACCUGUUCUAUUUACUUUUAUACUCCCCAUCCCCAAAAGGUCUCUGGCCAUCCGAGAGUUUCUUUGGGAUGAGCCAUCAGGUUCAUGGGGUGACAGAACAAUUACAACAAUUAUGAUAAUUGUUCAAUGUAUACAUAUGUAUGUAUUAGGUAUAUACAUAUAUGCUUUAUAUACUUAUGAUUAUAUAUAUGAUAUAUGUCACACAUAUAUGUGAAUACAUAAUGAUGGCCAACACUUAGUACUUACAGUGUGCCAGAUAUUAUUCAAAGUACAUCUCUCUAAGGUAGAAAUUAUUAUCAUCUAGUUUUACAGUUGAGAAAAGUAAAGCAUACAUCCAGAAAGUGGUACAG
rnacentral:lncRNA from 1 species